CGCGGGGUGGAGCAGCCCGGUAGCUCGUCAGGCUCAUAACCUGAAGGUCAUAGGUUCAAAUCCUAUCCCGCAACCA
rnacentral:tRNA from 1 species